GUGACAUAGUGAGAGGGAGGGUGACAGAGUGUGGCAGAAUAAGAGGGGUGACAUAGUGUGACGGGGUGAAAGUGUGAGGUGGGGUCACCUAGCGUGUAGGGAGCGACAGAGUGAGGUGGCAGAGUACGGGUGGGUGACAGUUUGGGGGGUCACAGGGUGGGUGACAGAGUAAGAGGGGGUGACAGGGUGAGAGGAGGGUGACAGAUGGGUUGGCAG